rnacentral:rRNA from 1 species
GACGAACGCUGGCGGCGUGCUUAACACAUGCAAGUCGAGCGGUAAGGCCCUUUCGGGGUACGACGAGCGGCGAACGGGUAGGAGUAACACGUGGGUGGACCUCGCCCUCCAGCUCUGGGAGUAAGCCUCGGGAAACGUAGGGUCGUAAUAACUGGAUAUGACUCCACGGUGCAUGUCGUGGGGUGGAAAGCCUUGUGCGGCUGAGGA